GUCUAGAGAGUUCGGAAUAUAUGACAGAGAAACAGAUAAGACGUACCACAGGAAAUUUCAUAGAGAAAUUUUAGAAUGGCGGGUGAAAUUACGUAAAUCAGAGUAUCUUUCUAAACACAAAGACGGUGAAAUGUAAGUGCAUAAUAUGCUUAUAUAAGUAAUAAGUUCAUUCAUUAAAUGUACCUUUUUUAUUAAUAUAUUUAUUAAACAAAAAAAAUACACUUAUUCUUUUAAUACUGUUAAAGUUAAAUAUUUCCUUAAAACUGAUUUUAUAAAAUCACACAAUACAAUACAUUUCAGUCAACAUACCUCAUUAACCGGAAGAAAGCUUGACAAAGAGUUGAUUCUAUUUGAGAGGAAAUGCAAUGAAAACAUAAAUACAUACCUAGAUAGUGCAUCAUCUGGCCAAACGCCAAAGAAAAAUUUGAGUAUUUCACCAGUGUUUGUAACUGAAGAGGACAGAAACAAGUAUCAUGAUAUAGGAAGGAAAAACAAAACCGAAAUCAUAGUCAUUGUAGACAAUUUAAUUCAUGAAAUAAGAGAAAUGGGUAAUUUAUCUGAAGCCAUCCAACUUGAACAUCAGUGGGCGAAAAUAAAAGUAAACACCAAGAAUGAGAUUCUGCAAUUUUAUAAAGAAGUAACCAUUGCAUUAGAGGAUGCCACUUCAAUACAGACAGCAUGUGACCUAGAAUCGGACUCAAGCGACGAAUCAGACUAUGAAGAUUUGUAAUAUAACGAUGUAACAGAGCAGCAUAGAUCUAGUAGGUUAGGAUACUUACAGACAUGAUGUUCACUGUUGUCACAGGUCUAUCGAGUACUGUGUAUACGCUCGGGAAAUGUAUGAUUGUAGUCAUGUGUUCUGUGUAACUUCCGUUUAUGAUUUAAAAUGCAAGUUUAUUUUUUUUUAUAAAAAUUUACAAAUUCAUAGAAAACAUUUUUACAAACACCCUAUACUUUGUAUUAAUAAUUAAUAAUUUCCAAGAAAAUGCUUUUGUGCAUCAAGGAUUGACAACAACAACAACAAAAAUGGACGUCUCAG